AUCCCUGAUAAGUGAGAACUCCUGGAAUGGAUUCUCGCUCAAAGGACGCUUAGACCAUGCUUCUAGGCGUCGCCCAAGGAGGGGGCCGCGACCGAUCAGGUUGUUGGUGAGGUAACGGCUCACCAAGCCUUUAACCGGUACGGGCCGUGAGAGCGGAAGCCCGGAGAUGGGCACUGAGACAAGGGCCCAGGCCCUAAGGGGCGCAGCAGUCGCGAAAACUCCGCAAUACACGAAAGUGUGACGGGGUCAUCCCGAGUGCCAUCCGCUGAGGAUGGCUUUUCCCCAGUGUAUAAAGCUGGGGGAAUAAGGAGAGGGCAAGUCUGGUGUCAGCCGCCGCGGUAAUACCAGCUCUCCGAGUGGUGGGGAUGCUUAUUGGGCCUAAAGCAUUCGUAGCCUGCUUGGCAAGUCCUCCGUUAAAUCCAACGAUUCAAUCGUUGGGCUGCGGGGGAUACUGUCCGGCUAGGGGGCGGGAGAGGCCGACGGUAUCCUCGGGGUAGGGGUGAAAUCCUAUAAUCCCGGGAGGACCACCAGUGGCGAAGGCUGUCGGCUAGAACGCGCUCGACGGUGAGGGAUGAAAGCUGGGGGAGCGAACCGGAUUAGAUACCCGGGUAGUCCC
rnacentral:rRNA from 1 species